UCGAAAGUACUGUUAGGACGUUCGAGGGAAACGCUCGUUAAUUACGCAUUACUACGAAAUACUACCGUACACUACCGGACGAGAUACAGUUCGUUCUAACAUUUAUAAGUAAGAAAUCGCACAUAAAAUUGAAAUCGAAAGAACGUUACGGUCAUGAUCGCAGAAAACGUGUUUUGCGUUUAAUGUUAUCUUUCUGAGAUGUAGUUCUUUCGGGGGAAUAAAAAUGGCAUAUAAAGGCCAAGAGACUCACUGGUUCUGUGAGGUAAGACUCCCACAACUCCCUGAGAUCGCUGCUUCCCACGUCGUAGAAUUCCAUGAUGGCCGUCUCUUCUAUUCGUUGAUCUUUCUCCGAUCUCCCGGUGUGUUCACUGUCCUCAAUCAAUCGUACAUACUUGAAUGCUCAUUGACGCCGUUUAUAACUUCAAACCACGAGCAUCGUGAUUCUCCUUGAAAGGACACCGAUACUUUCCAACGGAAUCUAUAAAUUAACGAGGAAAUAAGCAUUAUAAUUCAAAGUAAAACAUCCAAUAAAAAUCUAAUAAACGAAGAAAACUUUCAAAGUCACAUAUCUUUCUUAAAGAUAAAGACAGAGAUAAAGAUAGAUAGAUAGAUUGAUAGAGAAAGAGAGAGAGAAGAAAAGAUUUCUAUCUAGAUCCGUCUUAUCGGCUACGUUGUGAUCUAUCAAGAGAUUAUAAUAAAAUAUAAACUAGGGUGAUUGCACGAUCAUCGUCGAAUGUAAAAAAAAAAUAUCAAAUAAAUAUAUAUCUUUGAUAAUUGCACGACAUAAAUAUCAUAGAAAUAAUUUAUUACGUUACUUCAAAUUUAUAGAAACUUCCGACAAAUAUAUCAAACAACUUACGUUGUAAUACUUUCAUGACAAGAUAACAAUCUUAAAAAUGGCAUGAAAAUGAAUUUUAUUUAUAUAUUUUUAUUGUUCGAACGUUUUUGUGUUGCAUGUCAUAAUAAUAAGCAGUGCGUCGAAACAAAUCGUAAUGCGUUGUAACGAGAUCAAUGGAUCCGUCUUUUAUAGGUUAAGUACGACACGAUGCCUUUUCAAUCCGUCGUAGAAUAAAUGGAAGAGAAAAAUAGAGGAAGGGGUAGUAUGGGGGCAGUCUUAAAAUGGAGAACGUAACAUGAGCGUAGAAAAAUCAGAAUUUUACGGUGUACAUAAUCUCAUCGAAAGUCUCUCUUGUAUGAUAAAUAAAUCACGAUUUUCAUUAUACCUUUUUCUCUGUUUUCUCAAAAAAAAAAAAAAGCAAAAAGAAGCUGCUCCGUUAAAUAAUCAUCGCUCGAAAGCUAAUAAUAAUUCAAAAAUAACAAUCACUAUGCGUGAGAAAACGACAAAAAAAAAAGAAAAAAGGAACGGAAGAAGAAAAAUGGGGAUGAAACGAGAAAAAGUUCGAUGUUUUCGUCGAUGCCUAUCUUUCUCUAUCAGUAACUUAAGAAAUCUAAAAAGUAUUGCGGUCAGGAUACGUUAAAUACUAUAAUCUUAUCUUUUUCCCUCUUCGAUCUGGCUUAACGGAGAUGCGAGCACAUUUCCUCCCGAUGUAACUCGUUUAUU